rnacentral:rRNA from 1 species
CACGUAGGGUGCAAGCGUUGUCCGGAAUUAUUGGGCGUAAAGAGCUCGUAGGCGGUUUGUCGCGUCUGCUGUGAAAACUCAGGGCUUAACUCUGAGCUUGCAGUGGGUACGGGCAGACUAGAGUGCGGUAGGGGAGACUGGAAUUCCUGGUGUAGCGGUGAAAUGCGCAGAUAUCAGGAGGAACACCGGUGGCGAAGGCGGGUCUCUGGGCCGUAACUGACGCUGGAGGAGCGGAAAGCAUGGGGAGCGAACAGG